GACGAACCGUGCGAACGUUGUUCGGAAUCACUGGGCUUAAAGGGCGCGUAGGCGGCUAGUCAAGUCAGGGGUGAAAUCUUUCGGCUCAACCGGAAAAGUGCCCUUGAUACUGACUGGCUCGAGGGAGGUAGGGGUAUGUGGAACUUCUGGUGGAGCGGUGAAAUGCGUUGAUAUCAGAAGGAACGCCGGUGGCGAAAGCGACGUACUGGACCUCUUCUGACGCUGAGGCGCGAAAGCUAGGGGAGCAAACGGG
rnacentral:rRNA from 1 species